rnacentral:tRNA from 1 species
UCCGCAGUAGCUCAAUGGCGGAGCAUUCGGCUGUUAACCGAAGGGUUGUAGGUUCGAAUCCUACCUGCGGAG